rnacentral:rRNA from 1 species
UCGUAGCAAUGGAUAUCUUGGUUCUUGUCACGAUGAAGAACGCAGCGAAAUGCGAUACGUAAUGCGAAUUGCAGAAUUCAGUGAAUCAUCGAAUCUUUGAACGCAAGUUGCGC